rnacentral:rRNA from 1 species
GACGGAGGAUGCAAGCGUUAUCCGGAAUGAUUGGGCGUAAAGCGUCCGCAGGUGGCAGUUCAAGUCUGCUGUCAAAGACCGGGGCUUAACUUCGGAAAGGCAGUGGAAACUGAACAGCUAGAGUAUGGUAGGGGCAGAGGGAAUUCCUGGUGUAGCGGUGAAAUGCGUAGAGAUCAAGAAGAACAUCGGUGGCGAAGGCGCUCUGCUGGACCAUAACUGACACUCAGGGACGAAAGCUAGGGGAGCGAAUGGG